UAACCCAGAUUAGCAACUAAGGUCCCUAAUACGUAGUUAAGUUGAUCAAACGAGGUGGGAUUUCUAUAACAGCCAGGAUGUUGGCUUGGAAGCAGCCAUUCAUUUAAAGAGUGCGUAACAGCUCACUAGUCGAGCGGACGAGCAUGGAUAAUAAUCGGGCAUAAGCAUACUACCGAAGCUAUGGAUUUGUAGUAAUACAAGUGGUAGGGGAGCAUUCUAAACUGGGUCGAAGGUGUGAUGUGAGUCAUGCUGGACUGUUUAGAAAAGAAAAUGUAGGCAUAAGUAACGAUAAUGCGGGCGAGAAACCCGCACACCGAAAAACUAAGGUUUCCGCAGCUAUGCUAAUCAGCUGCGGGUUAGUCGGGUCCUAAGGCGAACCCGAAAGGGACAGUCGAUGGCCAACGGGUUAAUAUUCCCGUACUACUUAUAAUUGUGAUGGAGAGACGCAGUGGUGAAAGUACCGCGAACUGACGGAAUAGUUCGUUAAAGCACUUAGCUAUAGGCCCGGUAGGCAAAUCCGCUGGGACUGGUGAAAUGCGAUAGUACUCAGAGUCUUCGGACAACGAGAUAGUGUACCUAAAGGCUGCCAAGAAAAUCUUCUAAACUUAGAUUAUAAGUACCCGUACCGUAAACCGACACAGGUAGUUGAGGAGAGAAUCCUAAGGUGCUCGAGAGAUUCAUGGCUAAGGAAUUAGGCAAAAUAGACCUGUAACUUCGGGAGAAAGGUCGCCAGCAGCAAUGCUGGCCGCAGUGAAAAGAUCCAGGCGACUGUUUAUCAAAAACACAGGGCUCUGCAAAAUCGUAAGAUGAAGUAUAGGGCCUGACACCUGCCCGGUGCUUGAAGGUUAAGUGGAGAUGUUAUCUUCGGAGAAGCAUUGAAAUGAAGCCCAAGUAAACGGCGGCCGUAACUAUAACGGUCCUAAGGUAGCGAAAUUCCUUGUCGGGUAAGUUCCGACCUGCACGAAUGGUGUAACGAUCUGGAUACUGUCUCAGCCAUGAGCUCGGUGAAAUUGUAGUAGCGGUGAAGAUGCCGCUUACCCGCAGUGGGACGAAAAGACCCUGUGCACCUUUACUAUAGCUUAAUAUUGACCUUGGACACGUGAUGUGUAGGAUAGGUGGGAGACUGUGAAGCGGCGUCGCUAGGCGUUGUGGAGUCAUUGUUGAAAUACCACCCUUUGCUUGUCUGAGGCCUAACCCCGCGUUGCGGGGGACAUUGUUUGGUGGGUAGUUUGACUGGGGUGGUCGCCUCCAAAAGAGUAACGGAGGCUUCUAAAGGUUCCCUCAGCACGCUUGGUAACCGUGCGUAGAGUGCAAUGGCAUAAGGGAGCUUGACUGAGAGACAUACAGGUCGAUCAGGUACGAAAGUAGAGCAUAGUGAUCCGGUGGUUCCGCAUGGAAGGGCCAUCGCUCAAAGGAUAAAAGGUACGCCGGGGAUAACAGGCUGAUCUCCCCCAAGAGCUCAUAUCGACGGGGGGGUUUGGCACCUCGAUGUCGGCUCGUCACAUCCUGGGGCUGGAGAAGGUCCCAAGGGUUGGGCUGUUCGCCCAUUAAAGUGGCACGCGAGCUGGGUUCAGAACGUCGUGAGACAGUUCGGUCUCUAUCUACUGUGGGCGUUAGAAAUUUGAGUGGAUCUGAUUCUAGUACGAGAGGACCGAAUUGGACUGACCGCUGGUGUAUCUGUUGUUCCGCCAGGAGCACUGCAGAGUAGCUACGUCGGGAAGGGAUAAGCGCUGAAAGCAUAUAAGCGCGAAACCCACCACAAGAUGAGAUUUCUUUUAAGGGUCGUGGAAGAUGACCACGUUGAUAGGCUAUAGAUGUAAAGGCAGUAAUGUCAUAGUCGAGUAGUACUAAUAACCCGUAAGCUUAUGUA
rnacentral:rRNA from 1 species